AGUGAACGCUGGCGGUAGGCCUAACACAUGCAAGUCGAACGGCAGCACAGUAAGAGCUUGCUCUUACGGGUGGCGAGUGGCGGACGGGUGAGGAAUACAUCGGAAUCUACUUUUUCGUGGGGGAUAACGUAGGGAAACUUACGCUAAUACCGCAUACGACCUACGGGUGAAAGCAGGGGAUCUUCGGACCUUGCGCGAUUGAAUGAGCCGAUGCCGGAUUAGCUAGUUGGCGGGGUAAAGGCCCACCAAGGCGACGAUCCGUAGCUGGUCUGAGAGGAUGAUCAGCCACACUGGAACUGAGACACGGUCCAGACUCCUACGGGAGGCAGCAGUGGGGAAUAUUGGACAAUGGGCGCAAGCCUGAUCCAGCCAUACCGCGUGGGUGAAGAAGGCCUUCGGGUUGUAAAGCCCUUUUGUUGGGAAAGAAAAGCAGCAGGUUAAUACCCCGCUGUUCUGACGGUACCCAAAGAAUAAGCACCGGCUAACUCCGUG
rnacentral:rRNA from 1 species